CCGGAGUGGAAUAAGACGAUCUCUCCAGCGAGCAGUCACGAAAGACCCUCCCCAAAAACCUGAUUGCUCGCACACCCGAGCAGAUGUCUCGAUGCAUGGCGUCGGGUUCCGGAGGCCUGCUCUACCGAUCUCUGUGCGCGCAGAGGUUCGGGACGGGGUUGAAUAGAAAGCAAUGCGACUGGAAUGGAAAGGAAUGACGGAUUGCUGAUUGUGUCUCGCAGGGGAGGAAGGUGACUCGUGUAUGGAAUAUAUAGG
rnacentral:lncRNA from 1 species